GAUGAAGAACGCAGCGAAAUGCGAUAAGUAAUGUGAAUUGCAGAAUUCAGUGAAUCAUCGAAUCUUUGAACGCACAUUGCGCCCCCUGGUAUUCCGGGGGGCAUGCCUGUUCGAGCGUCAUUUCACCACUCAAGCCUCGCUUGGUAUUGGGCAACGCGGUCCGCCGCGUGCCUCAAAUCGACCGGCUGGGUCUUCUGUCCCCUAAGCGUUGUGGAAACUAUUCGCUAAAGGGUGCUCGGGAGGCUACGCCGUAAAACAAACCCAUUUCUAAGGUUGACCUCGGAUCAGGUAGGGAUACCCGCUGAACUCAAGCAUAUCAAUAAGCGGAGGA
rnacentral:misc_RNA from 1 species